rnacentral:rRNA from 1 species
AGGACGAACGCUGGCGGCGCGCUUAACACAUGCAAGUCGAGCGAGAACCGGUCCUUCGGGACCGGGGAAAGCGGCGAACGGGUGAGUAACACGUGGGUAAUCAACCCUCGGUACCGGGAUAGCCCGAGGAAACUCGGAUUAAUACCGGAUGGCCCAACAGCCUUUCGGGGCGGUUGGAAAAGGUAGCUUCGGCCUCCGACCGAGGACGAGCCCGCGGCGGAUUAGCUUGUUGGCGGGGUAACGGCCCACCAAGGCGACGAUCCGUAGCUGGUCUGAGAGGACGAUCAGCCACACUGGGACUGAGACACGGCCCAGACUCCUACGGGAGGCAGCAGUGGGGAAUCUUGCACAAUGGGCGAAAGCCUGAUGCAGCGACGCCGCGUGAGGGAAGAAGGCUUUCGGGUUGUAAACCUCUUUCAGGAGGGACGAAGCUACUCGGGUUAAUAGCCCAGAGGGUGACGGUACCUCCAGAAGAGCCCGGCUAACUACGCGCCAGCAGCCGC